UUGUUAGUGUGUUCCUCUUUUCUACUCUUCUCCUUUCUGUCUACUCAGAGCCUCAACUUGAGAGCUCACAGUUUCUUGGUACAAGGAAAAUGUCAGAGUUAGAUAAAAAUCAAGACCAGCCUAAGAAAAUCAAGCCUGCCAAUUCCCUUUCCUCCAAAAACCAAACCAAGCUCAUCAAGCCCGCCUUGUCUUCCUCCAAGAACCAGACCAAGCUGAUCAAAUCUAGCCUAUCCUCUAAAAACCAAACCAAGCUCCUCAAACCCAACCUCUCCUCCAAGAACCAAACCAAGCUUAUCAAAUCCAGUUCCAAUUCCAUCAAGACAUCCUCAUCCCCCACCAAGAAUAUUGAGCUCAAAAAGCUCAAUUCCACAUCAAAAUCCUCCAAUUCUGUCAAAC
rnacentral:lncRNA from 1 species